rnacentral:rRNA from 1 species
GCCAUCCUUUAAAGAAAGCGUAACAGCUCACUUGUCUAAAUAAGUUUUUCUGCGCUGAAAAUGUACCGGGGCUAAAGCUGUAUACCGAAGAUGUGAGUACUUAUUGAUUCCGAUCAAUAGGUGCGGUAGCGGAGCGUUCUGUAAGUCUGUGAAGGUAGUUUGUGAAAACUGCUGGAGAUAUCAGAAGUGAGAAUGCUGACAUAAGUAGCGUAAAAGAGUGUGAAAAACACUCUCACCAAAAAUCUAAGGGUUCCUACGUUAAGUUAAUCUGCGUAGGGUUAGUCGGUUCCUAAGGCGAGUCCGUAAAGGAGUAGUCGAUGGCAAUCAGGUUAAUAUUCCUGAACCUCUUAAGUGUGACGGGUUUUGUAUUUGUAUAAGUCUGAUUGGAUUGAUUUAUGCUUAAAAAAAACUCCAGGAAAUAGCACUUAUAUUUUAUGAGGCCGUACCGUAAACCGACACUGGUGGAUAGGUAGAGUAUACUAAGGUGUUGAGAGAAUGAUGUUGAAGGAACUCGGCAAAUUAUACCCGUAACUUUGGGAGAAGGGUAGCCUACUUUUAGGUAACUAUUAGUAGGUGGCACAGAAUAGGGAGUAGCGACUGUUUACUAAAAACACAGGACUCUGCAAACACGUAAGUGGAAGUAUAGGGUCUGACGCCUGCCCGGUGCUGGAAGGUUAAUAGGAGGGGUGUAAGCUCCAAAUUGAAGCCCCAGUAAACGGCGGCCGUAACACUGACGGUCCUAAGGUAGCGAAAUUCCUUGUCGGGUAAGUUCCGACCCGCACGAAUGGCGUAACGAUUUCUCCACUGUCUCCAACAUCAAUUCAGCGAAAUUGAAUUCCCCGUGCAGAUGCGGGGUACCCGCGGUUAGACGAAGAGACCCCGUGCACCUUUACUAUAACUUUGCAUUGUUAUUGAAAAUACAAUAUGCAGGAUAGGUGGGAGACUUUGAAGUUAUGACGCUAGUUAUGAUGGAGUUGACCUUGAGAUACCACCUUUUGUAUUUUCGGUAUCUAACUAUGUUUCAUUAUCUGAGACUAGGACAUUGCAUGGUGGGUAGUUUGACUGGGGCGGUCGCCUCCUAAAAUGUAACGGAGGCGUGCGAAGGUAAGCUAGGGCUGGUCGGAAAUCAGCUUGAUAGUAUAAUGGCAUAAGCUUGCUUGACUGCGAGGCUGACAGGCCGAGCAGGGACGAAAGUCGGUCAUAGUGAUCCGGUGAUUCUGUAUGGAAUGGUCAUCGCUCAACGGAUAAAAGGUACGCCGGGGAUAACAGGCUGAUGGUGUUCGAGAGUUCAUAUCGACGACACCGUUUGGCACCUCGAUGUCGACUCAUCACAUCCUGGGGCUGGAGAAGGUCCCAAGGGUUCGGCUGUUCGCCGAUUAAAGUGAUACGUGAGUUGGGUUUAGAACGUCGUGAGACAGUUCGGUUUCUAUCUGCCGUGGGUGAAGGAAAUUUGAGAAGAUCUGACUCUAGUACGAGAGGACCGAGAUGGAUAUACCUCUGGUGUACCAGUUGUUAUGCCAGUAGCAUUGCUGGGUAGCUAUGUAUAGAAGGGAUAAUUGCUGAAAGCAUAUAAGCGAGAAACCCUCUUCAAAAAGAUUUCCCAAUUAAGGUCGUGGGAGACUACCACGUUGAUAGGCUAGGUGUGGAAGCAUGGUAACAUGUGAAGCUAACUAGUACUAAUAGCCUGAUUGAUUUAUUUGC